rnacentral:rRNA from 1 species
UACGUAGGGGGCAAGCGUUGUCCGGAUUUAUUGGGCGUAAAGAGCGUGUAGGCGGUUCGGUAGGUCCGUUGUGAAAACUCGAGGCUCAACCUCGAGACGCCGAUGGAAACCCCCGAACUAGAGUCCGGAAGAGGAGAGUGGAAUUCCUGGUGUAGCGGUGAAAUGCGCAGAUAUCAGGAAGAACACCCGUGGCUAAGGCGGCUCUCUGGGACGGUACUGACGCUGAGACGCGAAAGCGUGGGGAGCGAACAGG